rnacentral:rRNA from 1 species
GACGAACGCUGGCGGCGUGCUUAACACAUGCAAGUCGAACGGAAAGGCCCUGCUUUUGUGGGGUGCUCGAGUGGCGAACGGGUGAGUAACACGUGAGUAACCUGCCCUUGACUUUGGGAUAACUCCAGGAAACUGGGGCUAAUACCGGAUAGGAGCUCCUGCUGCAUGGUGGGGGUUGGAAAGUUUCGGCGGUUGGGGAUGGACUCGCGGCUUAUCAGCUUGUUGGUGGGGUAGUGGCUUACCAAGGCUUUGACGGGUAGCCGGCCUGAGAGGGUGACCGGCCACAUUGGGACUGAGAUACGGCCCAGACUCCUACGGGAGGCAGCAGUGGGGAAUAUUGCACAAUGGGCGGAAGCCUGAUGCAGCAACGCCGCGUGCGGGAUGACGGCCUUCGGGUUGUAAACCGCUUCCGCCUGUGACGAAGCGUGAGUGACGGUAAUGGGUAAAGAAGCACCGGCUAACUACGUG